rnacentral:rRNA from 1 species
UACGAAGGAUGCAAGCGUUAUCCGGGUUUAUUGGGUUUAAAGGGUGCGUAGGCGGACUUAUAAGUCAGUGGUGAAAUCUCUUCGCUUAACGAAGAACGUGCCAUUGAUACUGUAGGUCUUGAGUACAGAUGCCGUUGGCGGAAUGUGUCAUGUAGCGGUGAAAUGCAUAGAUAUGACACAGAACACCGAUUGCGAAGGCAGCUGACGAAACCGUAACUGACGCUGAGGCACGAAAGCGUGGGGAUCAAACAGG